rnacentral:rRNA from 1 species
UACGGGGGGGGCAAGCGUUGUUCGGAAUUACUGGGCGUAAAGGGCUCGUAGGCGGCCAACUAAGUCAGACGUGAAAUCCCUCAGCUUAACUGGGGAACUGCGUGUGAUACUGGAUGGCUUGGAUUUGGGAGAGGGAUGCGGAAUUCCAGGUGUAGCGGUGAAAUGCGUAGAUAUCUGGAGGAACACCGGUGGCGAAGGCGGCAUCCUGGACCAAUAUUGACGCUGAGGAGCGAAAGCUAGGGGAGCAAACGGG